GAGUUUGAUCMUGGCUCAGAACGAACGCUGGCGGCAGGCCUAACACAUGCAAGUCGAGCGCGCCUUCGGGCGAGCGGCGGACGGGUUAGUAACGCGUGGGAACGUGCCCAGAUCUACGGAAUAGCCACUGGAAACGGUGAGUAAUACCGUAUACGCCCUUCGGGGGAAAGAUUUAUCGGAUUUGGAUCGGCCCGCGUUAGAUUAGGUAGUUGGUGGGGUAACGGCCUACCAAGCCUACGAUCUAUAGCUGGUUUUAGAGGAUGAUCAGCAACACUGGGACUGAGACACGGCCCAGACUCCUACGGGAGGCAGCAGUGGGGAAUCUUGGACAAUGGGGGCAACCCUGAUCCAGCCAUGCCGCGUGAGUGAAGAAGGCCCUAGGGUCGUAAAACUCUUUCGCCUGUGAUGGUAAUGACAGUAGCAGGUAAAGAAACCCCGGCUAACUCCGUGCCAGCAGCCGCGGUAAUACGGAGGGGGUUAGCGUUGUUCGGAAUUACUGGGCGUAAAGCGCACGUAGGCGGAUUAGAAAGUUAGAGGUGAAAUCCCGGGGCUCAACCCCGGAACUGCCUUUAAAACUACUAGUCUAGAGUUCGAGAGAGGUGAGUGGAAUUCCGAGUGUAGAGGUGAAAUUCGUAGAUAUUCGGAGGAACACCAGUGGCGAAGGCGGCUCACUGGCUCGAUACUGACGCUGAGGUGCGAAAGUGUGGGGAGCAAACAGGAUUAGAUACCCUGGUAGUCCACACCGUAAACGAUGAAUGCCAGUCGUCGGGUAGUAUACUAUUCGGUGACACACCUAACGGAUUAAGCAUUCCGCCUGGGGAGUACGGUCGCAAGAUUAAAACUCAAAGGAAUUGACGGGGGCCC
rnacentral:rRNA from 1 species